CAGUCGCCGCGGUAAAACGAAGGGUGCAAGCGUUAAUCGGAAUUACUGGGCGUAAAGCGUGCGUAGGCGGUUUGUUAAGUCUGCUGUGAAAUCCCCGGGCUCAACCUGGGAAUGGCAGUGGAUACUGGCAAGCUAGAGUGUGUCAGAGGAUGGUGGAAUUCCCGGUGUAGCGGUGAAAUGCGUAGAGAUCGGGAGGAACAUCAGUGGCGAAGGCGGCCAUCUGGGACAACACUGACGCUGAGGCACGAAAGCGUGGGGAGCAAACAGGAUUAGAUACCCGCGUAGUCCCUGUCUCUUAUAC
rnacentral:rRNA from 1 species